AAAACUUUCAACAACGGAUCUCUUGGUUCCAGCAUCGAGUGAAGAACGCAGCGAAAUGCGAUAAGUAAUGUGAAUUGCAGAAUUCAGUGAAUCAUCGAAUCUUUGAACGCACAUUGCGCCCCUCGGCAUUCCGGGGGGCAUGCCUGUUCGAGCGUCAUU
rnacentral:rRNA from 1 species